GUGAACGAUCAAGGGCGCGCGGUGGAUGCCUUGGCUCUCGGAGGCGAUGAAGGACGCGAUAAGCCGCGAUAGGCCACGGCGAGGUGCAAGUAACCCUUGACCCGUGGAUUUCCGAAUGGGGCAACCCGGCCGUCUAGAUGACGGUCAUCCAGCAAUGGAGGCGAACGCGGGGAACUGAAACAUCUCAUUACCCGCAGGAGAAGAAAACAACAGUGAUUCCCCCAGUAGUGGCGAGCGAACGGGGAAGAGCCCAAACCGGUGCCGUUUCGGCGACACCGGGGUCAUGGGACCGCGCCAUUCGACGAUGGACGAAGUGCAAUUACCUGGAAAGGUAAGCCGCGGAGGGUGAUAGCCCCGUGCACGACAGCCCCAUCGAAGAUAGCGGAAUCCCGAGUAGGGCGGGACACGAGAAAUCCUGCCUGAAUUCGCCAGGACCCCCUGGCAAGGCUAAAUACUCCCGAGAGACCGAUAGUGAACCAGUACCGCGAGGGAAAGGUGAAAAGUACCCCGAGCAGGGGGGUGAAAUAGACCCUGAACCCGCGCGCCUACAAGCGGUCGGAGCCAUGAAAUAUGGUGACGGCGUGCCUUUUGCAUAAUGAGCCUACGAGUUAGUCGUCACCAGCGAGGUUAAGGGCUUCAGGCCCGUUAGCCGAAGUGAAAGCGAGCCUUAACAGGGCGACGAGUUGGUGGCGCUAGACGCGAAACCUUGUGAUCUACCCACGAGCAGGUUGAAGUCGCGGUAACGCGUGAUGGAGGACCGAACCGGUAAACGUUGAAAAGUUUUCGGAUGACUCGCGGGUAGGGGUGAAAGGCCAAUCAAACUGGGAAAUAGCUCGUACUCUCCGAAAUGCAUUUCGGUGCAGCCUGUGAUGUUCUGUUCCAGAGGUAGAGCUACUGGUUGGACGCGAGGGCUUCACCGCCUAUCAAAUCCGGAUAAACUCCGAAUGCUGGAACACGAAAUCAUGGAGUGAGCCCGCGGGUGCUAAGGUCCGCGGACGAGAGGGAAAGAACCCGGACCACCGGCUAAGGUCCCGGAUGGACAGUUAAGUUGAUCAAACGAGGUGGGAUCGCGGAGACAGCUAGGAUGUUGGCUUGGAAGCAGCCAUUCAUUUAAAGAGUGCGUAACAGCUCACUAGUCGAGCGAUCCCGCGUGGAUAAUACACGGGCAUCAAACUGUCAACCGAAGCCGUGGGGUCAGUGUUGAACUGACCGGUAGGAGAGCAUUCCUGCCAGCGUUGAAGGUCACCCGCGAGAGUGACUGGAGCGGCAUGAAAAGCAAAUGUAGGCAUAAGUAACGAUAAUGGGGGCGAGAACCCCCCACGCCGCAAGACCAAGGAUUCCCCGGCAAUGUCAAUCAGCCGGGGGUCAGCCGGCCUCUAAGGCUAACCCGAAGGGGGACGCCGACGAGAAACGGGUUAACAUUCCCGUGCUUCUCGUCACCGUGACGCGGUGACGGGGUGAUGAAUGGACCGCGCGCUGACGGAAUAGCGCGUUGAAGACCGUACCCUUUGACGGUGGUAGUCAAGCACGCCACCGGAGGCGAAAGUCGAUAGUACCUCGAGGCCUCGGCCGAGGGGAUAGCGUCCAGGCAAUUUACCCCCGAGAAAACCCGCUAAACUUCAAGUGACGAGGAACCGUACUGUAAACGGACACACGUGGUCGGGUAGAACAUACCAAGGCGCUCGAGUGAUUCAUGGUCAAGGAACUAGGCAAAAUAGUCCUGUAACCUCGGGAAAAAGGACGCUCUAGUGAUAGAGCCGCAGAGUAAUGGCCCAGGCGACUGUUUACCAAAAACACAUGGCUAUGCCAAAUCGAAAGAUGACGUAUAUGGCCUGACACCUGCCCGGUGCCGGAAGGUUAAGAGGAGAGCUCAGGGGUGACCCGAAGGUUCAAAUUGAAGCCCCGGUAAACGGCGGCCGUAACUAUAACGGUCCUAAGGUAGCGAAAUUCCUUGUCGGGUAAGUUCCGA
rnacentral:rRNA from 1 species